rnacentral:rRNA from 1 species
UACGUAGGCAGCGAGCGUUGUUCGGAGUUACUGGGCGUAAAGCGUGCGUAGGCGGUUUUGUAAGUUUGGGGUGAAAUCUCCCGGCUCAACUGGGAGGGUGCGCCGAAAACUGCAAGGCUGGAGUGUGGGAGAGGUAGGCGGAAUUCCUGGUGUAGCGGUGAAAUGCGUAGAUAUCAGGAGGAACACCUGUGGUGUAGACGGCUUACUGGACCAUGACUGACGCUGAGGCACGAAAGCGUGGGGAGCAAACAGG